AUGCUCCAUCCACUUCAGUUUCAGAUUUUGCUCUCUUUUGAUGAACAAAGCGUAACGCUUGAGACAGAAGCUUGUCUCGGUGAGUGUUUCAACGAAAACACUGUUAAAUUGGAGAGAAAACCAAAUAAUAUUGCAUAUUCAGAGAUGUUGAUCGAAAGAAGAACGAUGAUAAUUGUUGACUCAAUUCAUGGUUGCAGAUUCUUGCUGCAGUCAUUGAAGUUGCGAUGA